rnacentral:rRNA from 1 species
UACGGGGGGAGCAAGCGUUGUUCGGAUUUACUGGGCGUAAAGGGCGCGUAGGCGGCCACCGCAAGUCGACUGUGAAAUCUCCGGGCUUAACUCGGAACGGUCAAGUGAUACUGUCGUGCUAGAGUACAGAAGGGGCAACUGGAAUUCUCGGUGUAGCGGUGAAAUGCGUAGAUAUCGAGAGGAACACCUGCGGCGAAGGCGGGUUGCUGGGCUGACACUGACGCUGAGGCGCGAAAGCGUGGGGAGCAAACAGG